ACAAAGUACGUAGUUUUGCAUUUUUUGUGUUUAACGUUUUAUUUAAAAAUUUGAUAUGAUUGGUAUUUUUAUUAUUAUUAGAUGAUAAAACAUAAAUAGCACUUUAAACAUAACUAAUCUUUAUUAAGUUUUUUAUAAAAUUUUCAAAUAAAAUGAACGGUUAAACGUUGGAUAUGAAAACUCACGGUUGUAC
rnacentral:pre_miRNA from 1 species